rnacentral:lncRNA from 1 species
UAAUGACAUUGCCAUCAAAAGAUAAGAUUCUACUUUCCAUAACAUAAUGUUCAAUGUUCAUCAUUAUCACAUGUAUAAAAGGCUAAAUUUUCAACCCUUUUGGCCUCCUUUUUCCACGUUACUUGUUUUGUGCCUUUUCUUUUGGAGGGUAUACCAAAAUCAACUUCAAUCUCAUAAUAACUAUCAUUUUUUUAUUUUAAAUUUAUUAAUUUACAAAAUAUUUUUUU